rnacentral:misc_RNA from 1 species
GUUUGGUGUGGGUGGGGUACAAGUAGUUGAACUAUCCUGGCUUUUUUGGAGGUUCAGAGCGUAUGGGACAUGAGUUACAUUAAUUUAAUGUGUGCAGACAUGUUGCAAACUUUGUCCUUUCUUUUAAUAUUCCAUCUGUCCAAAACGAUGUGUCCAAUAGGUUUGAUGAACGGAAAAAGAAUUUUAUGAUUAAAAAUUUAAGACAAAUCCAAAAGUAUUUUUGCUAGUAGUUCAUUCCUAAUAUCAGUAAAGUUGCAGGUAUCUACCAUAGUUAUGACAUUAGUCAGAUAAUGCGAAAACUUUUUGUAUGACAGAAACAACGGCGUACCUAUUCUUUCUGUAAAGAAUUAGUGG